rnacentral:rRNA from 1 species
GUAGUCUGCAACUCGACUACAUGAAGCUGGAAUCGCUGUAAUCGCGAAUCAGAAUGUCGCGGUGAAUACGUUCCCGGGUCUUGUACACACCGCCCGUCACACCAUGGGAGUCGGAAAUGCCCGAAGUCAGUGACCUAACCGAGAGGGAGGAGCUGCCGAAGGUGGAGCCGGUAACUGGGGUGAAGUCGUAACAAGGUAGC